rnacentral:tRNA from 1 species
GCCGUCAUAGCUCAGCUGGCAGAGCGCGUUCUUGGUAAGAACGAGGUGUUGGGUUCGACCCCCAAUGACGGCUCCU